rnacentral:lncRNA from 10 species
CCCAGAACUCUCCUUCCAGCUGAACUCCCUGGGAACAAGUCAGUUGGGCUGAUCACUGAACUCACAUUUCUGGACCUGAGGAGCCUGUUCCUCUCACGCCCUCACCUGGCUGAGCCGCAGUAGUUCUUCAGUGGCAAGCUUUAUGUCCUGACCCAGCUAAAGCUGCCAGUUGAAGAACUGUUGCCCUCUGCCCCUGGCUUCGAGGAGGAGGAGGAGCUGCUUUCCCCAUCAUCUGGAAGGUGACAGAAAUGGGCUGGGAAGGUCCGAACAGCAGGGUGGAUGAUACGUUUUGGGCAAGUUGGAGAGCCUUUGCCCAGAUUGGCCCAGCAAGGAGCGGUUUUAGAUUAGAGACACUGGCUGGAUUGAGGAGUAGAAGGCUCAAACAACCCAAGGUUAGUUGGUCUUUGUGUGACAGUGGGAAGAAGUGGAGAGAACACUCUGUCUCCCCGACUUCCUUCUUGACCCUCCUUCCGUAUCUUUCAUUCUUCCCCACUGGCCUUUCCAGAUGAGGUCCAAAAGUAAGCUCACUCUUCAGGGAAAAGUGAUACUAAACCCAGGCGUGAGGAGUCAUCCUUCUGCUCUUACUUUUCCCUGCAUUUCCUUAGGCUGGCCCAGACUCUAGAUUCCUGGGCACUUACCUGUAUCUGAGACCCUUAGACCUCCUGUCUCAGUUUCUCCACCUGUGAGAUGGGCAGUCACACAGAUGAGUGUGCAUGAGGGAAUCAGAAGCCCAUCUGGGUUGACUCAGAACCCGGGCUCUCCCCCUGCUGUGGGUGGAAACAAAACACCUUUUCACAGAAGCUGUUGUCCCUCCCCCAUCCCUGAUACCAUCACCCAGAAGCUGGGUGGGGAAUGGGAAGCUGGAGGAGGGGGUUAGAGUUAGACCAAUGCGAGGAGCUAGUAAGAGCUCGCCUCUCCGUGACUUCCCCCCAUGCAAGGGUGGCCCAAGGCUUCCCCUGAUAUCCAAAGCAGGACAGCAGCCCCUUGGUGGGAUUCUAACUGCUGCUACUCUGUUUCUUUCCUCACUUUGCUUUCCAAGGUGGUAUGUGAUCCCCAGCUCAGGCCUGUGCAGACAGGAAAUUCUCCCCUGCAGCAAGUAGGGGAGGUGGGUUGUGGGAUGUGACCUCCUUCCAGAUAUCAGGCAGUGAGUGUAAACCUGCCACCUCCAGCCCUGAUCCAUUCUCACCUAGCGGCUACAGGAAGCUGUGUCUGUUCGAUUUGGUGGGAGGAGAUGUGCAGGGAGCUGUAUCUUGUCCUCCGCUUGUGAAAAACUCAAGGAUGUGGAGAAGAGUAGACCGUGGAACCCUGCUCUUCUGCAGCCAAGCUGAGGGGCAGGAUGCGUGUGGGACAGUGGUAGAGAAGCAGGGGAUAGACUCAUAGGCUGCAACAAAGGUGACUCUGUCCCUGGACACUGCCUCCGUACUUUCUCCUUGCUUCACUGGCCACAGCAUCUCCCUCCAGCCCUCGCUAUGUGCCUCUGCCAUCUUCACCCAUCAUGGAGCAGAGGUGAGGAGAGGCAGCCUGGGAAUAUGGAGACCAGUGAAGGACCAGGCCUGGAGAGCACAGGGUCCUACCUGGGCAUCCAGCAGAGGAGCCCCUAAAGGCCAGGAGCACCCCAAGAGGAGGGAGGGCAGCCAGCCUCCAUUGACGGCGAGCCUCCAGCCCUCUCCUACUUUGAUCACCAUUUCUCUCCAGGCUUUCUGCCUCCGAGAUGUGGCACCAUAGUGCGGUGCCCUGUGGCUUCACCGCCCUACUUCCACCUCCGCCCAGCCUGUAAUGUUUAUAUAAGCAGCCUCAAGGACCAAGAACCAUCUGCGAAAGGACACACACAGGAAAUUCAUAAAAGAAAUCUGAAUGGAUAAAACCAUGAAAAAAAGUAUGCUUCAUUAGUAAUUAAAGAAAGGCAAAUAGAGCUGGAAGCAUUUUUCCCUUAGCAAACCAUAACAGAAAAAAAUAAGACCCAAUAUUGGCAAAGAGACUACUGAAAAAACAUUCCCAUACAUUGCGUGUGGGAGUAUACAUCGGUGCAGGCUUCCUGGAUGACAGUUGGGUGAUAUGUGUCAUGUGGCCUAAAAGCCUCCAUGUCAUUUGACCUACGAAUUCUAUCUUUGGGAAUUUAUCCUAAGAAAAUACUUAAGGAUUUAGUUAGUGAUAAGAUGUUCAUCCCAGCAUUGCAAUGGAGAAAAAUGGGAAGCAAUGGUUUGGUUGGGAAUUUAUUCCUUUUCUGCUGUAACGAAAGUUUGCAAUAGGGGAUUGCUUAAGUAAAUUAUUGUAUCUCCAUCCAGAUGGUGGAGUACCGCGCAGACAUUAAAAGUCAUGUAAAAGAACAUCUGACUGAAAGAAAAAUGCUCCUUGAAUAUUAAAAGGUUGUAAAAAUAGUGCAUGUUAUGUGAUUUCAAUUUUGUUUUUUAAAAUAUGGGUGUAUGCUUGUAUACGUAGAGCAGAUAAAAAAGACGGAAGGCAUACUAAAAAAUGUUGAGUGGUUAUCUUUGUAUGGUGGAACAAAGUCACUGUAAUUUUCAUCUUUGGUUUUUCUGUAAUUUCCAAAUUUUCCACAUUUUGUAUUUCAUAUAAUAUAAUUUAAGAGAUCAGUGUUAUUAUUUAAACCUUUGGAGAGGUGGGGGUAGAAGAAUGAAGGGAAGACCUCAGCUUUUUGGUGAGAAGGUUUGGUUGGGGCACCUCUUGGUUUAUGAACUUAAUUCUUUGAAGUAGCUGGAAUCCUCCCUCUCAGCCUGCAGGAAACAGCUCUGACUUGCUGACUGUCUGCCAGCUGAAGAGGUGGAGUGGAGUAAGGUGGAAGGAAAGCAGUGCAACCUGGGGCUCUUCAGGUGGUGAGGGGCUGGGGGAGGCUCUUCCUCUUAAGGCUGGAGGGUUCUGGAAUCCUAACCGCCCUGCUACUAAGAGCAGGACAGGUCUGUUUUUCUCUUCUGACUCUGUCCCAGCCUUGAAGGGACCCUGUGUUACCUUUCCUUGCCCUCGGAUUGAAGAUAUUCUACCCACCCAACGGGUACCAAGCCCUUGGGGAAGGAAGUGCUUUUCAAGACUGGGGGCCAGCGAUUCCCUUUUGCGUCCUCUUCCUAAUGAGGCUCCUCCGUAGGGCCGAAAACAAUGCUGGGGGUCGGGGCGGGGCCCAGUGGGUCGCUUCUCCAACAUGGGGUCUCCUGGGGGUUGUGGGGGAGGGGGAGCAGAACUGCUGGAAUUACAGGUUUGCCGGGAUAUGGUAAAGGCGUGGAAACCUCAGGAGGCCGAAGGGGUGGCUCCAAGAAAGUGGGGCACCCCGUCCCCACCACGGACGCGGGGAGGGAAGUGGGGGCGGCGGCCAGGCUCGGGCAGGUACGAGUGGGCUGCGCUAGCCUCUGCCUUGCAGGGUGUGGC